GCCUACGGGGCGCAGCAGUAGGGAAUCUUCCACAAUGGGCGAAAGCCUGAUGGAGCAACGCCGCGUGGGUGAAGAAGGUCUUCGGAUCGUAAAACCCUGUUGUCAGAGAAGAAAGUGCGUGAGAGUAACUGUUCACGUUUCGACGGUAUCUAACCAGAAAGCCACGGCUAACUACGUGCCAGCAGCCGCGGUAAUACGUAGGUGGCAAGCGUUAUCCGGAUUUAUUGGGCGUAAAGAGAACGCAGGCGGUCUUUUAAGUCUGAUGUGAAAGCCUUCGGCUUAACCGGAGUAGUGCAUUGGAAACU
rnacentral:rRNA from 1 species